rnacentral:lncRNA from 12 species
AGAGUAUUCCUAUAAUGUAAAAUAUCUUUGUAAAACUCCUUUCUUCAAUUAUACAGUAUAAUAAAACAAAUUUACAGUAUGGGAAACAAAUUUUGACUUGAUUCUUUGUAAAGCAUGAACUUGGGACUAUAAGUAAAAAACAUUAUGUAUAGUUGUAAGUCAUAUUAAUAUUGAGCCAACAUAAUCAUUUCUACUUUUUCUUUUGAAAAAUGCUUCAGAGGUCAAUGAAUUUUCUAAUAUCUGAAUUUUAGGUUGAAGAUUCUCUUCCAUAGACAGUAAUGUUAAUUUUAGAAAUAGAUUUUAUAGACAUACUAUGCACUGAAUACAUAUAAAAUUCUUCUAGGCAAGCAUUAAUUUUGUAGCAAGAACUUAAAGCAUUGAUUAGCCAAAUUACGAAUGCAGAAAACAAUGAAUCCAAAAAUCUGUUCCUAUUAUUGUUAAAACAACAACAACAACAACAACAACAACAACAACAACUAGAAAUACUUUUCUGGGUUGCCUGAAUUAACUACUAUAUAAACAGCCAGAAUUCAUAAUUUUUAGUGGAUCAGUAUUUCACAGUAUGUUUUAUUUUAUAUUAUCAAGCAAUUGUCAGACAGGUAGAAAGAAUCACCAAGUGCUAUUUUUCCAAAUUUAGUUGCUUUUUUCUUUUGAAUACUUGAGUUGAGAUUAUCUUUUCCUGUCAAAAUGAUCAUCUUCCUACAAAGGAAAAUAAGCACAAUUAUGAUCGGCGGUGAUGGAGAAAAUCCUUGCGGGUUUUUGAAUGAUGGAGGAAGUUUAGGAAUAGAAGAAAUUGAGAAGAUGUAGUCCAUACCUCAGAAACAAGACUUGAAUAGUGUUACACAAACAAAAAAAGCCAGAAUUAUGGUUACCAUCAGCUACAUAGGAACGCCAACUAAGAAAACCUAAGUCAAAUGCUUUUUAGCCCCCUUAAUGUCUUCAGGAAUGUUCUAUGAAAAGACCUCAUAUCAGAGCCAAGAGAAAUUGGAAGGAGUUGCUACUGCCUCAAAAUUAGCUUAAAUAAACACUUUCAUAUAGGGUAUUAUACA